rnacentral:rRNA from 1 species
CCUACAUUAGAUAUAGCUAGGGGGCUAUGGAAGGCUGCCAUUCCUCUCAAGAUCAAGAUCUUCUUUUGGCAAAUGUUUCGCAACCGCUUACCUACGUCGGACAACGUUGCCAAACGAAAUGGGCCGGCGGACGGCACAUGCACCACCUGCGGUUUAGGGGAAAACGCGAACCACGUCUUCUUUGGUUGUGUGCUUGCUAGAUUUGCAUGGAGUGCAGUGAGAGACGCAUUCAAUCAAAAUUGGAACCCUCAGUCUAGCCACGAACUGCUGUCUAUCUUAACGACGCAAAGAGGGGCCAAUGCUAGGAUAGUUUGGAGAUGCGUUGGGGCGCUUCUUUGGUCCCUUUGGACGGUUCGUAACAAAAUUACGAUUGAACACAAAUUCCCGAACCACCCCGCUGAUAUUAUCUUUAAAUGCCAUAUUUUCCUUCAGGUCUGGGCUCCACUGGGGAAGAAGCGUGACAUCGAGCGCAUGAACGAGGCCAUGGAGCUGAUCAAGUCAUCCAUGAUGAAGGCGCGGCACGGGACGAUGGCUGCCCCAUGA